rnacentral:miRNA from 1 species
CAUCAAAGCGGUGGUUGAUGUG